GGUGUGCAAGAGGACACUUGUGCAAGGACGUUUGGGGGUGUGCAAGGCGAGUCACUUUUUCAAGGGGUGUGUAAAGGCAGAGGUGUGCAAGAAGACACUUGUGCAAGGACAUUUAAGGUGUGCAAGGCAAGUCACUUUUACAAGGGGUGUGUAAGGGCAGAGGUGUGCAAGCCAGCAUUGUGCGUGUGCAAGGCCGAGUGUGCAAGGGGUUUUGCACGAGGAGGGGCUCACGGUUUGGCGCUGAGAGGUAUCGGUGGCGUGGGAGGGUCUGAUUUUGGGGCAGUUUCGGGGUGGUUUGGUGCAAAGGCUUUGGGGGUGUGCAAGAGGACACUUGUGCAAGGACGUUUGGGGGUGUGCAAGGCGAGUCACUUUUUCAAGGGGUGUGUAAAGGCAGAGGUGUGCAAGAAGACACUUGUGCAAGGACGUUUGGGGGUGUG
rnacentral:lncRNA from 1 species